rnacentral:rRNA from 1 species
AAGUUUGAUGGCGACCGGCGCACGGGUGAGUAACACGUAUCCAACCUGCCGAUAACUCCGGAAUAGCCUUUCGAAAGAAAGAUUAAUACCCGAUGGCAUAGUUCUUCCGCAUGGUGGAACUAUUAAAGAAUUUCGGUCAUCGAUGGGGAUGCGUUCCAUUAGGUUGUUGGCGGGGUAACGGCCCACCAAGCCUUCGAUGGAUAGGGGUUCUGAGAGGAAGGUCCCCCCACAUUGGAACUGAGACACGGUCCAAACUCCUACGGGAGGCAGCAUG